CCUGGUGGCUCAGAGGUUAAAGCGUCUGCCUGCAAUGCAGAAGACUUGGGUUCAAUCCCUGGGUCAGGA
rnacentral:tRNA from 1 species